UUUUGUUUUAUUCUCUUGCGUUCAUCAAAAGGAAGAAAAAAAAUCCCCAAAUCUUCUUACUCAAUCCAUAAUCAUCUAUCGAUUCUCCCAAAUCUAAACCCUACCGAGUAGCAGACUAGCGGCUAGCUUCGAUUUCUUCCUUCGGCUUGACGUUCUUCCCCAAAUCGUAUUCGCAGAUUGAUAAGUUGAAGGUAAGACCUGCUGCUGUUCUGCAAAUCUGCAAUCGAAAAGUUACUUUUUAGUAUGCAAAAGUUUAAACUACUUCUACCGAUUCUCUUUUGAUGUUAUUAUGGAAUAAGGGAUUCGGGAGGAGCACUGAUGCAAUCGCCGUCGCAUCCAGAGUCGACCAAUUCGACACCUCGAAGCAAGGCGGGGUCAUGGACGGAGGAGACGACCAUCUCGACGG
rnacentral:lncRNA from 1 species